UGAACACAUGAUGAAGGGCUUCAGGAGAUGGUAUUUCCUGCUAGGAGUACUGCACACUCACACUGAAUACGUCACUGGAAAGCCCAGAGUCUGUACUUUUAAACAAGCCAGAGAUGUUCCCAACGAAGAUGUAUUCCCCAUGCCCCCUGGUGAGAACGACACCCAGGCUGCAGAGAGUGGGAAAGGCGAUCCACUUUGCGUUGUCGGCAAACGUCACUUCCCGUCCAAUCAG